rnacentral:rRNA from 1 species
CCCGCCCGGGUACUACGAGCAAAGCUUAAAACCCAAAGGACUUGGCGGUGCCCUAUUCCACCUAGAGGAGCCUGUUCUUUAAUCGAUAAUCCACGAUUCACCUCACCAUUUCUUGCCUAAACCGCCUAUAUACCGCCGUCGUCAAUUUUCCCUUUGAAGGAAUCACAGAAAGUGAAAAGGUACCCACCAAAACGUCAGGUCAAGGUGUAGCGAAUGAAAUGGGAAGAAACGGGCUACAUUUUCUAUUAUAGACCAAACGGAUGAUCAAUAUGAAAUCUGAACCUGAAGGAGGAUUUAGUAGUAAAAAGAAAUCAGCAAAUUCUUUUUAACAUGGCCCUGGGACGCGUACACACCGCCCGUCACCCUUUCGACUCUAACAAUCUUUAUCUAUAACUAUAUUUUUGACCUAGAAGAGGUAAGUCGUAACAUGGUAAGUAUACCGGAAGGUGUACUUGGA